rnacentral:rRNA from 1 species
UACAGAGGUGGCAAGCGUUGUUCGGAAUUACUGGGCGUAAAGGGCGCGUAGGCGGUUCGUUAAGUCCUGUGUGAAAUCCCCGGGCUCAACCUGGGAACUGCAUUUGUGACUGCAAGGCUAGAGUACGGUAGAGGGGGAUGGAAUUCCGCGUGUAGCAGUGAAAUGCGUAGAUAUGCGGAGGAACACCGAUGGCGAAGGCAAUCCCCCUGGACCUGUACUGACGCUCAUGCACGAAAGCGUGGGGAGCAAACAGG